UGAAAAGCAAGUCCCUGACUAUUAUCAGAUCUUCAAGGAUUGCAUGGUCUUUGGUUGAGACCCGGAUUGCAGAGAGACGUUAUCAAUGACUUGUGAAGUUUAUUAUCCACAUCGCCAAGAUUACCCCUUUAUUUAAUAUUGGGACAAAUAUCAUCCGCCGUCUGCUUUAUUCUCUUUACUUUGUGGAUGAUGGAGAAAGAGUCGUACACUCGUACGUUAAACUGUUUAAAAUUAAAUUUAGAUUUCAACCUGCAGACGGACCGGCCAGUUAGCAUGUCCUUCACGCUUGAAGGUCGAGGGAAACAUUGUGUAAAACUGUCAACGCGGUGGUGUAGAGGUUGGGUGAGCUGGACGUGUUGCAUCAUUUUCAGCAGACCCAACCCCAGCAACGUCAACCUAAAGAAGGAAAGGCCAGUUUGCAUUUCCUUC